CUGAGAGGAAGGUCCCCCACACUGGUACUGAGACACGGACCAGACUCCUACGGGAGGCAGCAGUGAGGAAUAUUGGUCAAUGGGCUUACGCCUGAACCAGCCAAGUCGCGUGAGGGAAGACUGCCCUAUGGGUUGUAAACCUCUUUUGUCAGGGAGCAACGCCGGCUACGUGUAGCCGGACUGAGAGUACCUGAAGAAAAAGCAUCGGCUAACUCCGUGCCAGCAGCCGCGGUAAUACGGAGGAUGCGAGCGUUAUCCGGAUUUAUUGGGUUUAAAGGGUGCGUAGGCGGAAUGCCAAGUCAGCGGUAAAAUCGCGGGGCUCAACCUCGCUCCGCCGUUGAAACUGGCGUUCUUGAGUGGGCGAGAAGUAUGCGGAAUGCGUGGUGUAGCGGUGAAAUGCAUAGAUAUCACGCAGAACUCCGAUUGCGAAGGCAGCAUACCGGCGCCCAACUGACGCUGAAGCACGAAAGCGUGGGUAUCGAACAGGAUUAGAUACCCUGGUAGUCCACGCAGUAAACGAUGAAUACUAGCUGUUCGGGGCAAAUGAGCCUUGAGUGGC
rnacentral:rRNA from 1 species